rnacentral:rRNA from 1 species
UAAUAAGCGGAGGAAAAGAAACUAACAAGGAUUCCCCUAGUAACGGCGAGUGAAGCGGAACAGCUCAAACUUGAAAUCUCCAUUGCUUUGCGAUGGCGAAUUGUAGUCUCGAGAAGCUUUUCAAGACGGAUGCGCUGUGCCUAAGUUGUUUGGAACUGCACAUCGUAGAGGGUGACAAUCCCGUCGGCUGCACAGCGCACUGUUGACGAUGGCCUUUCA